rnacentral:rRNA from 1 species
CCCUGAUGUUAGCGGCGGACGGGUGAGUAACACGUGGGUAACCUGCCUGUAAGACUGGGAUAACUCCGGGAAACCGGGGCUAAUACCGGAUGGUUGUUUGAACCGCAUGGUUCAAACAUAAAAGGUGGCUUCGGCUACCACUUACAGAUGGACCCGCGGCGCAUUAGCUAGUUGGUGAGGUAACGGCUCACCAAGGCAACGAUGCGUAGCCGACCUGAGAGGGUGAUCGGCCACACUGGGACUGAGACACGGCCCAGACUCCUACGGGAGGCAGCAGUAGGGAAUCUUCCGCAAUGGACGAAAGUCUGACGGAGCAACGCCGCGUGAGUGAUGAAGGUUUUCGGAUCGUAAAGCUCUGUUGUUAGGGAAGAACAAGUACCGUUCGAAUAGGGCGGUACCUUGACGGUACCUAACCAGAAAGCCACGGCUAACUACGUGCCAGCAGCCGCGGUAAUACGUAGGUGGCAAGCGUUGUCCGGAAUUAUUGGGCGUAAAGGGCUCGCAGGCGGUUUCUUAAGUCUGAUGUGAAAGCCCCCGGCUCAACCGGGGAGGGUCAUUGGAAACUGGGGAACUUGAGUGCAGAAGAGGAGAGUGGAAUUCCACGUGUAGCG